CCGUUUGCUCCGGAUGUCCUGCUUGCAUCGCCGUCGUUCCUGGCGCUGCCGCCACGCGUGCCCGUGCCGAGGUCACUUAACCAGGGUUUGCUGAGCAGAGAGAUCGAAGGCAAAGGAGCCGCCGCCGUGAAGGAAGAUCUCCUCCACCCAGCCCGCUGGCACCGUCGCCUUCGGGUUCAGAUCAAACUGCACGGCUUCGGUGAUGGCCGCCUCUGCUCCCCAAUUGCGCCGGCCUCUUCUAGGCGGCUACACCACUCCGUCCUCUACCAGGUCGCCGCCGCCAGGGACGUGGACGCACGCGGGGCGGCCGGCAGCCAGUGAAUGUCUGAAUGAUGACGCGCGUGCGAGCGUGCGGCGCGGAGCACGGAUCUCCUCGCUGCCGCUGCCGAGUUACCUGCUCCCAGCGAUGCCCUCUUGUCUCAUCCGUGCAGGUUGCCACCGGGAAGAGGUGUGAUGGCGGCCAAGAAGAGAACAAUGGGACACUGAAGUCCCUUGGAUGUCCGUGUUUAUCACAGGAAAUCAUCAUAAAUGAAAACAAAAGAUUUCAUAAGAAGGCAUACCAUGAUUUGGUGGAGAAGACGAAGGCUUUGUGUGGAAAAUUAGCUAGCUUUGGCAGGUUUGUUAGGCUAAUAUAAGGUAGGGAGCUUUGCUACAUGAUAAUACCAUGAUAAUACACAGAUGAUAUAUACUGGAGGAUGUUUUGCAAUUAGCAAGUUUCAAGGUCACAUGGAUGCUGAUGGCUCUCAGGUGUAUGUGAUAUUUGUUGCUGGGUAUUGUUGCAGUUCUUCCUGUUAUGUCAAUGUAUAUUGCUUCAGUUUCCAUAUUGAGAUUGAUAUGGAACUGUCUCAUCUUCCAGCGUGAACAUUAUAUAUUUUCUCAAUUAUUAGUCUCAAAAUACUACUUUUCAUACUUUUCUACAUCUGAAGUAUUUAUGACUAUCAUGCUGAAAAAUCUUUUCUUGCUCCUCUCGAUUGACUAAAUAAACAAGAACACUGAAUUAUUGAUCUUAUCUUGGACUAUUAUUUGUAUUUAAAUUUUUAAAUCUUCUGCGGACUCUCACAAGAAUCAAGUGUAGUAGACAGUUCCUUGUUUCAGGAUCCUUAUUCAUAUUCGUUAGAGUUUGUACACUUGGGUUUUGUGAAAGCUAAAUAUUUCUCCUAUGAGUUUCAGCAUGAAUAAAAGUGAAUUGCCAUGUCGUUGAUGAUGUGUACGCUGCCAAAAUCCGCAGCCUGAGACCUCCCCAUCACGUCCCGUGGGCAUGACCACAUGAGGUUCAAUGUCCAUCAUGUCACACAGGCGUCAUCAUACCACCGUUAACCUGAUCCCUUCAGUGUGUGACUGGUCCCACUCGACAGGAGUUGCUGCGGCUCAACACCUCGGGACGCCGCUGUCUCCUUCCUCUCCUCUUCUGCAAACUGGUCACCAAUCCCUAGGCGGUGAUUCAUUUUUAGGAAUUACGGUGUUGUUAAUAGUCGAUAGAUCAAAAGUACAUAAGGCAUCCUGAAUAUUCCGUCCUUUCUAUCAAGCAACUGUUUAAAUAAAGAUUCCUGAUGCAUGUUGCAUGAUGUUGAGACAAAUUAUUU